UCUAAACCGUUAUGCGAAUAAGUUGUCCCUCUUUGGACUAAAGCCAUGGGCUUAGUUACAUGUUUAAUCACUUGCAGGUAUGACGAAUAUAGAGCUAUCCUUGGGGUACACGUCAGGUCUUUGAAGCUUUCCUUUUUUCACAUGGUCGAGUGUUGACGCUUCCAUCGUCCUCCAUACGGUGACUUAACAGGCCCCAAGAUCGCCCCACAUGGACCAUUCACUUUGGGCUGGCAGCCCCUAUUCUAGGACACCCUCAAUUAUCUUGUCACACAAAGCUAGUGAAAGGAAAGCCAAUAAGUUGAAUAUGUGUCUUGCUAAGAUGACUAUACAGAUCCAUCUAUCUUCACCUCAUAUUCUCCCUUUUGGUUUAUUCUAACCAAGGCCUCCCUUUGUCCAUGAUUUCCUUAGAACAUAAAAGCAUUUUGCUUCCAAGUGGGUAUGGCCCAAGGACCACAUGCUCAACUUGAGGUCCACUUAUCACCCACCAUCUUGAUGUUGGCCCAAUGUUCUUACAUGAAUUUUGUAUUGCAUGGCAAUAUCUAACACACAAACUAAUUUACAUGAGCCAUUGUUUAAAAGGAAGAUGCACUGAGCUAGCUUCAACAAGAAAAUGCAUUGAAGUGCAUUCACGCACAUGGUGCUCGAAUAGGCCCUCCCAGUCCCUAUGUUUCUCCAAAUGUAUUUUGGGCUUUAGUUUAUCAAUGCACCUGUAAUUGGAUUAGGGACAUUGCGAUUGAGAUGGGAUUGUUACACACAGCUCACAAAAAUGGCUUUGCAUGAGGGGUGCUUGGCUUACUAUUUUUGAUUUUAGCUAAAAUCCUCUAAAUUAACCUCCGCAAACUAAUACAAGCUUCACCAUAAAAUUGGCUCUAUUGAAU
rnacentral:lncRNA from 1 species